rnacentral:sRNA from 1 species
CUUGGUCAUUUAGAGGAAGUAAAAGUCGUAACAAGGUUUCCGUAGGUGAACCUGCGGAAGGAUCAUUACCGAGUUCAUGCCCUCACGGGUAGAUCUCCCACCCUUUGUAUACCAUACCUUUGUUGCUUUGGCGGGCCGCCUAGCUACUGGCUUCGGCUGGUAAGUGCCCGCCAGAGGACCCAAAACCCUGAAUAUUAGUGUCGUCUGAGUAAAAUUUUAAUAUUUAAAACUUUCAACAACGGAUCUCUUGGCUCUGGCAUCGAUGAAGAACGCAGCGAAAUGCGAUAAGUAAUGUGAAUUGCAGAAUUCAGUGAAUCAUCGAAUCUUUGAACGCACAUUGCGCCCCUUGGUAUUCCGAGGGGCAUGCCUAUUCGAGCGUCAUUAUCACCCCUCAAGCUUCGGCUUGGUGUUGAGGCCUGCCGUAAAGGCACCCUCUAAAAUCAGUGGCAGUGCUGUCAGGCUCUAAGCGUAGUAAUUUCAUCGCUAUAGGGUCCUGGUGGAUACUCGUCAAAACCCCCCCAUUUUUUAAUGAUUGACCUCGGAUUAGGUAGGGAUACCCGCUGAACUUAAGCAUAUCAAUAAGCGGAGGAAAAGAAACCAACAGGGAUUGCCUCAGUAACGGCGAGUGAAGCGGCAAAAGCUCAAAUUUGAAAUCUGGCUCUUUUAGGGUCCGAGUUGUAAUUUGUAGAAGAUGUUUCGGGUGUGGCUCCGGUUUAAGUUCUUUGGAAUAUUACAUCAUAGAGGGUGAGAAUCCCGUAUGUGACCGGCAGCCUUCGCCUAUGUGAAACUCUUUCGACGAGUCGAGUUGUUUGGGAAU